rfam:Myotis brandtii contig169301, whole genome shotgun sequence.
GGCAGUUCUCAGGUGACGCACCCCGGAAUCGGUCUCCCUCCUCUCUGGUUCUGGGGUGCAUCACCCGAGAACUGCC